UACGUAGGCAGCAAGCGUUGUUCGGAGUUACUGGGCGUAAAGGGCGCGUAGGCGGUUCGUACAGUCAGACGUGAAAUUCCUGGGCUCAACCUGGGGGCUGCGUUUGAUACGUGCGGGCUUGAGUGCGGAAGAGGGUCGUGGAAUUCCCAGUGUAGAGGUGAAAAUUCGUAGAUAUUGGGAAGAACACCGGUGGCGAAGGCGGCGACCUGGUCCGAUACUGACGCUGAGGCGCGAAAGCGUGGGGAGCAAACAGG
rnacentral:rRNA from 1 species